rnacentral:rRNA from 1 species
ACGAACGCUGGCGGCGUGCUUAACACCUGCAAGUCGAACGGAAAGGCCCUGCUUUUGUGGGGUGCUCGGGUGGCGAACGGGUGAGUAACACGUGAGUAACCUGCCCUUGACUUUGGGAUAACUUCAGGAAACUGGGGCUAAUACCGGAUAGGAGCUCCUGCUGCAUGGUGGGGGUUGGAAAGUUUCGGCGGUUGGGGAUGGACUCGCGGCUUAUCAGCUUGUUGGUGGGGUAGUGGCUUACCAAGGCUUUGACGGGUAGCCGGCCUGAGAGGGUGACCGGCCACAUUGGGACUGAGAUACGGCCCAGACUCCUACGGGAGGCAGCAGUGGGGAAUAUUGCACAAUGGGCGGAAGCCUGAUGCAGCAACGCCGCGUGCGGGAUGACGGCCUUCGGGUUGUAAACCGCUUUCGCCUGUGACGAAGCGUGAGUGACGGUAAUGGGUAAAGAAGCACCGGCUAACUACGUG